UAGAGUUUGAUCAUGGCUCAGGACGAACGCUGGCGGCGUGCCUAACACAUGCAAGUCAACUUGAGGGAAGGAGCAAUCUGACCUGAUGGUGGCGCAAGGGUGCGUAACGCGUAAGUAACUUGCCCCAAGGUAAGGAAUAACGUCGAGAAAUCGGCGCUAAUACCUCAUAAUGCAGCGGAUCCGCAUGGAUAUGUUGUUAAAGGUUUACCGCCUUGGGAUAGGCUUGCGUCUGAUUAGCUAGUUGGUGUGGUAAUGGCACACCAAGGCUACGAUCAGUAACUGGUCUGAGAGGAUGAUCAGUCAUACUGGAACUGAGACACGGUCCAGACUCCUACGGGAGGCAGCAGUGAGGAAUAUUGGGCAAUGCACGAAAGUGUGACCCAGCAACGCCGCGUGGAGGAUGAAGGUAUUCUAUAUCGUAAACUCCUGUGAGAGCAGACGAAAGACAGAUUAUUAAUUUGGAUGACUGUAUGCUCAGAGGAAGCCCCGGCUAACUACGUGCCAGCAGCCGCGGUAAUA
rnacentral:rRNA from 1 species